GCCUACGGGGGGCAGCAGUAGGGAAUCUUCCACAAUGGGCGAAAGCCUGAUGGAGCAACGCCGCGUGGGUGAAGAAGGUCUUCGGAUCGUAAAACUCUGUUGUUAGAGAAGAAAGUGCGUGAGAGUAACUGUUCACGUUUCGACGGUAUCUAACCAGAAAGCCACGGCUAACUACGUGCCAGCAGCCGCGGUAAUACGUAGGUGGCAAGCGUUAUCCGGAUUUAUUGGGCGUAAAGGGAACGCAGGCGGUCUUUUAAGUCUGAUGUGAAAGCCUUCGGCUUAACCGGAGUAGUGCAUUGGAAACU
rnacentral:rRNA from 1 species